UGGGAUGAGGCAGGGAAAAAGGUAUUAUUUGCUUUUUGCUUCUUUAUCGUCCUUUUCGAUAACUCAAUCAAUUGUUACUAAUACUACUGUAAUAUCUCGAUUUUAUCACCCCCUGGUGGAUGUUGGGGACAUGAAACAAAAGCGUAAUUUUUUAUUUUCAUUUUUUUUUUAUUUGUUUUGCAAGUUUAUGCAUUCGUAAGGCAAAAUGCGUGAUCGGUACUCAAUAUUUCUAGUCGAAAAUACUUACAAAAACGUUAUAACCCAGGUCGAAAACGUGAUAACUUGUUUGGUACCUCGAGGCCAUUUGGCAUAACGACCAUUUGGCAUAAUCGUUGAAAAGAUGUAUCAACGACCAUUCGGAUACCCACAUAAAAAAAAUAAUCGUAUGAAUGUCUGAUUUCCAUUUUUAGAAGUAUGUAUUUCCCCCGAAUAAGAUGACCUUCUUUAAAAGUAUGCAUUUGCCCGGAAUAAGACAAAAUAAUAGAUGAUCCCUUCUUUAAAAGUACGCAUUUGCCCGUAAAAAGACAAAAGAGUAGAUGGCCCCUUCUUCAAAAGUACAACUUUUUCCAGAAGAAAACAGAACACUGGAUAACCCAUUCUUCAAAAGAACGCAUUCGUCCGGAAAAGUCGAAGCGUAUAUGAUUUCUUUUCUACGCAUACGAUCGAAAUAAGACAAAUGAGCAGAUAAUUCCAUUUUCUAUAGCACGCGAUUUCUCGCUUAACUUUUCAAAAGGACCUAAGUAACAUUUUUUUCAUGAAUUAAUUUGAAUAGCGCAAUCAACAGAACAACAUGAAAGCUUUUGAUUGCAGUACUCAAAUUAAUUCAUGAAAAAAAUGUCACUUAGGUCCUUUUGAAAAAUUAAGCGAGAUUUCUCCUUAUAACGAAAAAGCAUGCAUGCAUUUGCUUGGAAGAAUUCUAAUAAGUAGAUCUUUUCUCACUUUGAAGCACGCUUUUGAGAAAAAAAUAGUACAUUAUUUCUUUAUUUAAAUCGAUUUAAAUCACUUCUUAAAAAGACGCAUAUGCCCAGAAUAAGGCCAUAACUCUUGUAAAGCGAGCCUAGAGUUUUUUUAUAAUUCUUUUAAUUUUUCUGCUAAAUUGUCAUUAUGCCAAAUGUCCCUAAAAUCAUUAUGACUAUUUUUCUUUAUUAUGCCAAACGGUCGUUAUACCAAAUGGUCCCUGGCUAGUCAACUCGUUAUCCCAAACGAACAUUAUGCCAUUUGGGGUAGCCCCGAAAUAAUUGUUGUUCUUCACAUUUUCUUCAAUGGCCUUACAC